GGGAUUAAAAAUAAGUUUGUCUGUUUAAGCGGAUUGCCGAGCUCUUCACCCCACAUCGAAGUGCCCCAACUCCACUUUUAUUUUUUGUUUACAGGCAUUUGUGAGCUCCCGCAAACCAACAUUAGAACAAGAGUUGGGGUUUGCGUGCAGGGAGCUGGAAAACUAGCGUUGGACAUAAAAGAGCACAGGCAGAGGAACCCGGGGCACUCCUGGGUGGGUCUUUAAUGUCUUCCUGUGCCUCGUCCAUAAAAGCCAGCUAAUUAACGAUCCUCUCCACAGGCUUGUGGGGAGGAAAGGAAAAGAUUAGAGGCCGAAGCGCUCGGAGCACAUUCUGAAAAGAAAGGGCAAACGCGGUCAGGGUACUUAUUAAACUGUUAUGCUUGCCUCUUCUGGGGGCUGUUCCCAGCCCUAGAAGCUCUCCGCUUGGUGCUGAAGUGGUCGGGGAGCUCCUGAUCCCUCCCAGGGGUCUCCCGGUGCCCUUGACCUCGAAAGUCAGCCUCUGCGGAAGGGGGUGCUGAGGAUCAGAGGGUCACCACCCCGUCCAGUGCACUGCAGUGGGAGAUGGGUUGGCAGGCCUGAGACAGGAGGAAAAAACCAGGCAUGGGCCAGAAGGCUGGGGACGGGACUCUGUACCUGAGAUUAGGCGAAUUUUGAUCUCCGACUACCCUCUUCAUUCCUGCCAUCGCCCGGACAGCUUGAAUUACUUCGUAGGGAGUGACGGGGAUGCGUUUUCCCCGGGAAAGCCAUUAAGCGGCAGAGCCAGCCUCCCUGUCUAUAUGGAAACCAAUCCCGCCGGCUUAUCUCUAGCUGAUUAGACCAGGGAUCCCACAAUGCUUGAAUUAAAAGCUAUUCUGCAGGAAGCAGCCCAAUGAAAUCUUCCUCGCUUGGAGAGAUUCGAGGACGCUCUGCCAUCUUUGGGUCUUGCCGGCCCAGGGAGGGAUGGCCCUGUGGGGUUCCCUGUACUGCCAUCAGGCUCCUGCGUCUGGGGCACUAUCCUGCUGGCCCACCCCACCCCAGGGCAGGUACUGGAAAACCCAGAUCUUUCUGUAGCCCGGGGCCUGCCUCAGGGACCCAAACUGUCCAGUCCCGGCCCGCACAGCUUGCCCGCCCGCCUUGCCUGCUUCUUUCUGGGAAAACCACACCAGAGCCUCGGCCCCUGCUUUCCCCUGGCUCUUCCUGCAUCCUGGCUGCCCUCGGUGCCCCCCCGGAGCAUGGCUCGCCUGCUUCUGCGGCGAAUAUACAACCUCCCUUCACGACCGUCACUUCUGCGUCCGCAGGCCCUGCCACGCUGGUUAGAAUCAACCCGGGUACCUCGGCAAGCAGUGGCCCACGGAAGGCCCACGGGUAUCGAGUGUCUCCUGCGCAUUCUGCGUAUUGGGUUUUGCAUUUUGGUGCCCCGGCUGCUGUAUCGUGGGAUUCUGGAGUUCAAGGGAACCACAUGGUGUAUAACGAAGCUUCGGAGCCUCGAGCUCCUCGUGAAGGUUUGGCGCCGACUCGGGCUUUCCCUGCAUCGUACCCGCGCCGGCUCGCAGGGGCUCCACUUACUUAUCCGUAUCGGACACAUCUCACAGGUGACUUACUGCCACAUUAUCCCUCCUGGGAGCUUUGUCUGCAUCUCACGAGCUAUUUGGUAACGUCUUCAUCAUCUGUGCUCAACACGGAGUCUGUUUUCCCAUCUAGGUUUCUGGUCCUUUCUAGCAGAACUGCACAUUCUGGGGCAGCAAGCAUGUCCUUCCGGCUGCAGCGGGAACUCAAGCGAGGUCCAACCCUGGCCCCUGACACCUGGGCGGGCUGAGCUCUGACUCGUCCCAGGCCCCACAGCUCAGCACCUGGCCCAGCAGCGGGUGCAGGCUCCCUGGGGAUUGUUGCAGGCUGGUCACUGACCCACACGAGCGUCUGCCUCUCCGGCCGCUGGGGACUCGAGGGGGAGUGCUCACCGAGCUGAGGUGUGUGCAAAGCUGGGGAGGGACAGGUGUUUAUGAGUCACGCAGGUGGCACCUAUCCAGCCAGGGGAGGGCAGUGCUUAGUCUAAUGCCUGAGUUUCCAGGGGGUGGAAUGUACUAGACCUACCGGGGAAUGCUUGGCUCUCAUGGAACUUUGGAUGAAACGCUUCUUUCAGAUUUUGUUCAAUCUCCCUUUCUCUAGGUGUCCAACGGGUGUCCAUGGAGGGCCAGACGAGGGACAAGCCCGAGAGGCAACAGCACUCCCUUUUCACUUGAUCUCUAACGACACAGAAGCUCAGUUCCCCAACAAAACGGGUUGCUCUGGCUUUGUCUUUCCUUGGGGUGACUCCUUCCCGCCAGCAGACUCCGGCCAGCCUUUCCCGCAGACGGUCCAGAACUCUCCUCGGCUCAGGGCUGGACCCCACAUCACGCAUUUAGGAGAAGGAAGUACCAGCAUGAGGACCAGAGAUGCUCAAGGCCGUAAACUAAGCAGCCAUGUCUGCUUUGGCGUCCAUGCUCCUGGGGGGCGAAGCUGGGGCUCCGCACGAGGCAGGUGGGCACCGGACUUCGCAUCUGUUUCGUGAGCUCCUCUGCGAAACCAGCAACAGAAUGUGUCACCGCUGACACGCGGGCCUUCUCACGUGCGUCACCCAGGAGCAGCAGGCCUCAAUCUUCCUUAUAUGUAUUAAUUUUUUCUUUCACAUUAAAAAAUGUUUGUUUUAAAAAAAAAUGUUUCAGGGGCGCUUGGGUGACUCAGUCAGUUAAGCAUCUGCCUUCAGCUCAGGUCAUGAUCCUGGGGUCCUGGGAUCGAGUCCCGUGGUGGGCUCCCUGCUCCCUUCCUGCUUCUCUCUC
rnacentral:lncRNA from 1 species